CGUUUCUCCGCCGGCGACCGGCGCACCGGGUGAGUAACACGUAUGCAACCUGACCCCUGUCACGGGGGGACAACCCGCCGAAAGGCGGGCUAAACCCGCGUACAUGCCACCGGGGCAUCCCGGAGGCAGGAAAGGCUUCGGCCGGACAGGGAUGGGCAUGCGGCGCAUUAGGCAGUAGGCGGGGUAACGGCCCACCUAACCGACGAUGCGUAGGGGUUCUGAGAGGAAGGUACCCCCACACUGGCACUGAGACACGGACCAGACUCCUACGGAAGGCAGCAG
rnacentral:rRNA from 1 species